rnacentral:sRNA from 1 species
GGAAUGUGUGCACUUAACCACUGUGCCACCGGGCCGGCCCCAUGGACUCUAUCUUGAGAUCGAGCCCUCCCCUUGCCCUGUCCUCCAGCCCUCCGGGAUCUUUCUCCCUAGGCAGGACUCAUUGUCUCCUUUCAAC